UUCUCAUGUGAACAAUACUGUAAUAUUACAAGGCUUUGGAAUCUGCUUUACAUCUCUGUGGCCCUGAAGAUCAACGAACAAUUUUUAUUGAUAUUAAUGUGAGCUCGAAACAUCAAGAGGAUGGUUCGGUAGUACUAUACAAAUUAGCCAACAAAGCUGCAGCACUCUUUCUGAUGGAUGAUGCACCUCCGUCUCCCACGCCACAGGUUUGCUACUAUAUUCUAAAAAAGAAACAUGCCUGUGCAUCACCAUCUUGUGGAACCACGAGACCUUAAUCCAUGAAUUCAAAGAACAUUUACUAUGUUUAUGGAUCACUACAUCUUCUGCUAGAACAAGAUGAGAUCCUUUUCCGUAACCAUUUAAAAAUGCAUCAUGCUUUUCUAAAUAUAAGUCAGAGAUAUGGCUUGGCAAGGUAGUAGGAGUAGGAGUAGAUGAGAGGAGAGCGUAUUUGUGUUAUUUGCUCCAAAUUAAGUUGAUUCUUUAAACUUAACUUUCAUAUAUAGGCCCAUAGCUGAAGAUGAACCAUGUGUACGAGUUGCAAACUAGGUAUUAAUGUCGUUCAUUGUCAUAACUCCAUAGAACUUCAUGUAGCAUUCCAGCAUCAAUUGUUUGAUCAUAGACUGAAGUGGUCCUAUCAUCAGCGCUUCUAGACUUUACAUCUUACUAGCAAAAGGGCCCGUGCGUUGCAACGGGAGAAAAAAAACCACACGCUUUU